UCGUGCAAACCAAAUGGGGAGUCGGACCUGCCCGGUGAAUUUUUUUAACGGCCGCGGUACUCUGACCGUGCAAAGGUAGCAUAAUCAUUUGCCUUAUAAUUGAAGGCUAGUAUGAAUGGUUUGACAAGAAUAUAACUGUCUCUAUAUGAUUUCAUAGAAUUUUAUAUUUAGGUGAAGAAGCCUAGUUAUAAUUAAAAGACAAGAAGACCCUAUCGAGCUUAAAAAGAAUUAGUAGGUUAUCUUAAUACAGUUAAAAAUUUUUCUACUAUAAAUUUUAGUUGGGGCGACUAAGGAACAAAAAAAGCUUCCUUUAAAAUUUAAAUAUAUUACAGAUGAUGAUCCAAAAAUUUUGAUUAAGGGAAUUAGUUACCGUAGGGAUAACAGCAUUAUCUUUUUUGAGAGUUCUUAUCGAAAAAAAGGUUUGUGACCUCGAUGUUGGACCAGAAUAUCCCAAAGAUGCAGCAGUCUUUAAAGGUUGGUCUGUUCGACCAUUAAAAUUCUA
rnacentral:rRNA from 1 species